AAAAAAGUGAAGGCAAACUCGAUCAAUCGGUCGAAGAAGAAACUUCUUCACUGCUCUAGCUCAUAACGCUUCUCUUAUAGGUUGGAGGAGCGACGUAAGGGGGGUCAAAGUUUCCUGAGAUUGACAUGUUCAAGAAGGUGUACGUUCGGCUCGGGGAUGAGCUGACGGAGCAGCUUCAUUCCACCAUGGUGGAGAAGGGCCAGAUCGUUCUGGAGGAAGUGGAUUCCCAGCUUCUCGUAGAAACCUCGAUCGAGGAGGUGUUUCCCACUGAGGAUGUCAGUUUUCAUAUCAAGAUAGACACACUCGAUCAGACCGUUCAGGACCUAUUUACCUUAUCCUCCAGGCAGAGAAUAGAAGAGGUCUAAACACUGACAUCUGAAGUGGCGAACCUGAAGGAGCAGAUUGCCGCCUAGUAGUCUCAAAUUACGGCCUAAAGCAAUUUGAUGAACCAAAUUUUGUCGGGCACUUCAAAUCUUUGGGAUUCAGUUCCCCAACAUUGAAUCACCUCCAUAAAUGACCUCCC